rnacentral:rRNA from 1 species
GACGAAGGAUGCAAGCGUUAUCCGGAUUCAUUGGGUUUAAAGGGAGCGUAGGUGGCCUUAUAAGUCAGUGGUGAAAUCUUCGAGCUUAACUCGGAAAUUGCCAUUGAUACUGUAGGGCUUGAGUAUAGUUGCCGUUGGCGGAAUAUGACAUGUAGUGGUGAAAUACAUAGAGAUGUCAUAGAACACCGACUGCGAAGGCAGCUGACGAAACUAUAACUGACACUGAGGCUCGAAAGUGCGGGGAUCAAACAGG